rnacentral:rRNA from 3 species
CAACUUUCAACAACGGAUCUCUUGGUUCUGGCAUCGAUGAAGAACGCAGCGAAAUGCGAUACGUAGUGUGAAUUGCAGAAUUCAGUGAAUCAUCGAAUCUUUGAACGCACAUUGCGCCCUUUGGUAUUCCAAAGGGCAUGCCUGUUCGAGCGUCAUUUGUACCCUC